rnacentral:lncRNA from 1 species
UGUUACACAUGGUCCCCUAGCCUUACUGCCUCCCUACACACGGUCCCCUGGCCUCUACUGCCUCACUGCCUCCCUACACACGGUCCCCUGUCCUCUACUGCCUCCCUACACACGGUCCCUGGCCUCUACUGCCUCCCUACACACUGUCCCCUGGCCUCUACAGCCUCCCUAACACGGUCCCCUAUCUCUACUGCCUCCCUACACAGGUCCCCUAACCUCUACUGCCCCUACACACGUCCCCAACCUCUACUGCCUCCCUACACACGGUCCCCUAGUCUCUACUGCCUCCCUACCACGGUCCCCUGGCCCCUACUGCCUCCCUACACACAGUCCCCUGGCCUCUACUGGCCCCAUACACACUGUCCCCUGGCAUCUACUGCCUCCCACACACGGUCCCCUGGCCUCUAUGCCUCCCUACACACGGUCCCCUGGCCUCUACUGCCUCCCUACACACGGUCCCCUGGCCUCUACUGCCUCCCUACACACGGCCCCCUGGCCUCUACUCUGCCUCCCUACACACGGUCCCCCUGGCCUCUACUGCCUCCCUACACACGGUCCCCUGGCCUCUAUACGGUCCCCCUACUCUACCGCCUCCCUGUGGCGGGCCUGGCGCAGUGCACGCUGACACGUCACCAGGUGUGUUCUUCAGACACAUGGGUGCGGCUGCUUCCGGGUUAAGCGAGCAGUGUGUCAAGAAGCAGUCGGCGUGGUCGUGUUUCGUAGGAUGCGCGGUUCUCGACCGUCACCUCUCCUGAGUCCGAGCGGAAGUUGCAGCGAUGGGACCAGACUAUAACUAUAUAUAUUUUUUUUGUAAAUGUCUUGCGGCUGGGCUGGGUUGAAGUGCCCGGUAGGCCGGAUGUGCCCCCCCCCCACCCCCUUCCUCUAGCCCCUCCCUCUAUUUCACACUUAUUUUGUCGUCCAGAUGAGACCCGGAGCCCGGCCCCGUCGUGGCACUGCUGCCACAACCUGAUCUACGUACGACCCAACCCCAAGACUGGUGUGCCCAUCGGACCGGCCCAUUCCUGAAGGCUUCUGGCCCGACACGAACUCCCCCACCCUGGUAAGAGAGUGUCUCUGUCUGACACGCGUGGCUCGUGUCGUGGCAUGCUGGUGUGUGUUUCUCUGACGUUCCUGUCCCCCCCCCCCCUCCUCUCUCUCUCCCAGCCCCCUCGCUCGGCCCACCCCCACGUGCGUUUCUCCUGUCUGGACUCAGAGCCCAUGGUGAUUGACAAGGUUCCCUCGACAAGUACGAGCGGAGGCUCACUCUCACACAGUACAUCCUGGAGAGAAGUCCCCUCAUACCUGUGGCAGGUAGCAACAUGAUACACUACACACCCAGUACUACACACAUGUACUACACUACAACACACCCAGUAACUCACACAGUACUACACUACAAACGCCCAGUACUACACACAGUACUACACUACCCGCCCAUACUACACACAGUACACACUCCGCCAGUAAUACACACAGUACCACACUACA